rnacentral:rRNA from 1 species
CCUACGGGAGGCAGCAGUAGGGAAUAUUGGACAAUGGGUGCGAGCCUGAUCCAGCCAUGCCGCGUGCAGGAAGAAGGCCUUCUGGGUUGUAAACUGCUUUUGCCGGGGGAUAAAAGACCCAUGCGUGGGGAAUUGAAGGUACCCGGUGAAUAAGCCACGGCUAACUACGUGCCAGCAGCCGCGGUAAUACGUAGGUGGCGAGCGUUGUCCGGAUUUAUUGGGUUUAAAGGGUGCGUAGGCGGCCCCGUAAGUCAGUGGUGAAAUACGGCAGCUCAACUGUCGAGGUGCCAUUGAUACUGCGGGGCUUGAGUACAGUCGAGGUAGGCGGAAUUGACGGUGUAGCGGUGAAAUGCUUAGAUAUCGUCAAGAACACCGAUAGCGAAGGCAGCUUGCUAGGCUGUAACUGACGCUGAGGCACGAAAGUGCGGGGAUCAAACAGGAUUAGAUACCCUGGUAGUCCGCACAGUAAACGAUGGUCACUCGGUGUUGGCGGUACACGGCCAGCGCCUUAGCGAAAGCGUUAAGUGACCCACCUGGGGAGUACGCCCGCAAGGGUGAAAACUCAAAANAGAAGUAGACGG